UGCCAGCCGCCGCGGUAAUACGGAGGGGGCUAGCGUUGUUCGGAAUUACUGGGCGUAAAGCGCACGUAGGCGGUGUGCAUAGUCAGAGGUGAAAGCCCGGGGCUCAACCCCGGAAUUGCCUUUGAUACUUGCAUACUAGAAUCCAUGAGAGGGUAGUGGAACUCCUAGUGUAGAGGUGAAAUUCGUAGAUAUUAGGAAGAACACCAGUGGCGAAGGCGACUGCCUGGCAUGGUAUUGACGCUGAGGUGCGAAAGCGUGGGGAGCGAACAGGAUUAGAUA
rnacentral:rRNA from 1 species